ensembl:lncRNA
AUGGAAGAGACACAGACAAGAAAACAGAAAAGAAAUGCAUUUGGAGCUCUGAUCAGUCCCAGUCUGAAGGCUGAGGUUUUCAGUUAUGUGAACUAAAUGCUGUCUCCAGGAACCCUGAAACACCGUGUAAGAAGUCUGAUUACUCUAAGACCACCAUGAUGGAGAGAAGGGUCACUUGCAGCUGCUUCAGUUGCUGGUCACAUUGAACCCAUACCUCGAGCCACCCCUGCCAAGAUGCCAAACAUAGCAAAAUUUGGGAACAAAUGGAAACGUCUGUGGAUCCAUAGUUUCUGAUAUAACAAACAAGGCUUUAUGUUUAUAUCGCACUUCCACAUCAGAAGAACCUAUGGAAGAAUCUAGGAAAAUGCCUAGUGUCAACAUGAGGAAAGUACGUGGAUGGCAGCAGACUACCAGCUUUAGCAUGUUGAAUAUGUCAUCCUACUCUCUCCUGGACUGCAGAGUUUUUGCUGAGAAAUCUGCUGACAGCCAUGUUGGAACUCUCUUGAAUGUGGAGAAGCCUGAGAAACACUGUCUGAGCUAAAGGACCAAGGUCAACAUCAACAGUGGUAAGUCACAUUGAUAGUAUGUACAUUUCAUAUGAUGUGAUGUAAAUAGCUUUUUACUUCUGUGAUCUUUCUGGUAUUGGGUAUAUGGGAACUCUCUGUACUCUCUUGAACAUUUUUCUGUAAACAUAAAACUAUUCUAAAAUAGAAAGUUUAUUUUAAAAAACAUGGCAUUUUGUUGCUCUAGGAAAAGCGAUAUAUAAAAGAAUGUGCCUUAAUGUGUCUCUGUCAUAUGCUUGCAGAAAGAGUAGACUUUGGAACUUGGAAGUGACUCCUAAAAUAGAGUGUUUUUAAAACUAUGGAACAUAACCUCAAUAAGAUUAUUGAGAAUGGCUACUUGGCAAAUAAGGAAACUUUUGCAUCUGAGAUUAUUUAUGAUACAUCACAAUAGCCAUCUUAAAAAUGGAAGCAGAUUCUCAGAGACCUAAGCACAAACAAAUAAUAAAGGAUUGCAAGUGUAAAUCUUAGGCUUCUUUAGGAUGAAGAAAUCUCCUUGAAAAAAGGCCUAUGUUUCAAAGCCUAUCUGUGCAGGAUGAAUGAAAAUCCAUUUGCCCAUGUUAAUGAGCAGAUUUUCACCAAAUACUAAUGAUAAGAGUGAUAUCUCAGAGGAUAGGGUGGCCCAGAGAAUAGUUGAGAUUCCUCGGAAAUAUAGGGCCACAGAUAGCAAAACUGAGCCAUGAUUCAGUGAUCAGGCAGAUGAGGAAUACAGUUUUGCAGCAAAGAGUGUGACUGAAAUAUGUUAGAAUGAAAGAUCUGAGACAGUGCUGACUAAUACCUGGAUGUCCAUGUGAGAAGUAAAAGUCGUUGAAGUUCUAGAAGUAAUCUGAAUUUAAGAACUCAAGGUUUCAAGUUACAGACCUAUCUGUUGCUCUCGCUCACCAGGCAAGAGACAGCAAGUCUUGUAAGCCUUAAUUUUGUCAUCUGACAAGUAGGAGUAAUGAGGGUGCUUACCUCAUAAGGUUGUCAUGAAUAUUAAAUAACAUGGUUUUAAAUGUUUGAAAUAGUGCUGCGUAUAUAUAUGUAAUAAAAGAGGACAGAGAGCUACUAUUAUUAUGAUUAUGUUAUUACUCAUAUUAUUGUAAAGGAUGCCUGUGUGGGGUGAUAGUAUAAGAGGGAAGCACUAAGACAGUGUCUGGCACAAAUUGGGGACACAGUAAGUGUUUGUUUUGGAGUCCUCUUCUCUGAAAUAAUGAUGGUUUGGCCAUGUGAUGUGGCAGAUAGGGCUUUCAGUCAGGUUCAUGUUCAUUGAUGUCUGUUCCUGAUUAUCUGCGUGGUAUUUGGAUAUCCAGUAAAGAGUUCUUCAUAUCGUCUCAGUUUAGAAUUCCUUUGUUCUCUGUGUUAAUAAAUAAGUUCUGCACUAAUUAUCAUAGUUAACCAUUGACUGAAUAUUUAAGCCCACAAUGGAAGCAGUCCAAAUCUGCACUUUGUGCUGUAAUAUAUUCUUUUUCUAUAGCAUCGUCUCUACUGAAAAGCAUUUGGUGGUUACUAUGUACACAUACACAUGGAUGUUGUAUGUGUUUCUAAGUUUUCCAGAUACUGGUUAUUUCAUUCUUUC